GAGUUUGAUCCUGGCUCAGAACGAACGCUGGCGGCGUGCCUAACACAUGCAAGUCGAACGUGAUCCAGAGCUUGCUCUGGUGAAAGUGGCGCACGGGUGAGUARCGCGUGGAUAACCUACCCUGGUAUCCGGGAUAACAUUCCGAAAGGGGUGCUAAUACCGGAUAAGCCCACGGGCUCUUUGGAGCUUGCGGGAAAAGGUGGCCUCUAUUUAUAAGCUACUGUAUCAGGAUGGGUCCGCGUACCAUUAGCUAGUUGGCGGUGUAACGGACCACCAAGGCGACGAUGGUUAGCUGGUCUGAGAGGAUGAUCAGCCACACUGGAACUGAGACACGGUCCAGACUCCUACGGGAGGCAGCAGUGGGGAAUUUUGCGCAAUGGGGGAAACCCUGASGCAGCAACGCCGCGUGAGUGAUGAAGGCCUUUGGGUCGUARAGCUCUGUCAGAGGGGAAGAAAUGAUAUAGUGCUAAUACCACUUUAUCUUGACGGUACCCUCAAAGGAAGCACCGGCUAACUCYGUGCCAGCAGCCGCGGUAAUAC
rnacentral:rRNA from 1 species